rnacentral:rRNA from 1 species
GUGAGGAAUAUUGCGCAAUGGAGGCAACUCUGACGCAGCCAUGCCGCGUGCAGGAAGAAGGCGCUACGCGUUGUAAACUGCUUUUAACCGGGAAGAAACCCCAGGACGUGUCCUGGGUUGACGGUACCGGAGGAAUAAGCACCGGCUAACUUCGUGCCAGCAGCCGCGGUAAUACGAAGGGUGCAAGCGUUAUCCGGAUUCAUUGGGUUUAAAGGGUGCGUAGGCGGAGCGUUAAGUCAGUGGUGAAAUCCUGCAGCUUAACUGUAGACGUGCCAUUGAUACUGGCGCUCUUGAGUGCGCUUGAAGUGGGCGGAAUGUGCCGUGUAGCGGUGAAAUGCUUAGAUAUGGCACAGAACACCAAUUGCGAAGGCAGCUCACUAAGGCGAUACUGACGCUGAGGCACGAAAGCGUGGGGAUCGAACAGGAUUAGAAACCCUGGUAGUCC